ACGAACGCUGGCGGCAGGCCUAACACAUGCAAGUCGAACGGAUAGCAAUAUCAGUGGCGGACGGGUGAGUAACGCGUGGGAAUUUUUCCAGAGGUUCGGAAUAACUAAGGGAAACUUUAGCUAAUACCGGAUGAUGCCGAGAGGCCAAAGAUUUAUCGCCUUUGGGUGAGCCCGCGUUGGAUUAGGUAGUUGGUGGGGUAAAGGCCUACCAAGCCUGCGAUCCAUAGCUGGUCUGAGAGGACGAUCAGCCACACUGGGACUGAGACACGGCCCAGACUCCUACGGGAGGCAGCAGUGGGGAAUCUUGCGCAAUGGGCGAAAGCCUGACGCAGCCAUGCCGCGUGAGUGAUGAAGGUCUUAGGAUUGUAAAGCUCUUUCGCUCGCGACGAUGAUGACGGUAGCGAGAGAAGAAGCCCCGGCUAACUUCGU
rnacentral:rRNA from 1 species